AGAGUUUGAUCCUGGCUCAGAUUGAACGCUGGCGGCACGCCUAACACAUGCAAGUCGAGCGGUAGCAUGAUUAGUAGCAAUACUAAUUGAUGACGAGCGGCGGACGGGUGAGGAACACGUAGGAAUCUGCCCUUUAGCGGGGGACAACCAAGGGAAACUUUGGCUAAUACCGCGUAAUCUCGAGAGAGGAAAGCUGGCCGCAAGGUUGGCGCUAGAGGAGGAGCCUGCGUCCGAUUAGCUAGUUGGUGAGGUAAGAGCUCACCAAGGCGAUGAUCGGUAACUGGUCUGAGAGGACGACCAGUCACACUGGGACUGAGACACGGCCCAGACUCCUACGGGAGGCAGCAGUGGGGAAUAUUGGACAAUGGGGGCAACCCUGAUCCAGCGAUGCCGCGUGGGUGAAGAAGGCCUUCGGGUUGUAAAGCCCUUUAGGUUGGGAAGAAGGGGGUGUUUAACAAACAUCCUUUGACGGUACCAACAGAAUAAGCACCGGCAAACUCUGUGCCAGCAGCCGCGGUAAUACAGAGGGUGCGAGCGUUAAUCGGAUUUACUGGGCGUAAAGGGCGCGUAGGCGGUUUAGUGAGUGUGGUGUGAAAGCCCCGGGCUUAACCUGGGAAGUGCAUCGCAAACGACUAAACUGGAGUAUAAGAGAGGGUGGCGGAAUUUCCGGUGUAGCGGUGAAAUGCGUAGAGAUCGGAAGGAACGUCAAUGGCGAAGGCAGCCACCUGGCUUAAUACUGACGCUGAGGCGCGAAAGCGUGGGGAUCAAACAGGAUUAGAUACCCUGGUAGUCCACGCUGUAAACGAUGAGGACUAGAUGUUGUUUGGGGAACCAAGCAGUAUCGAAGCUAACGCGAUAAGUCUUCCGCCUGGGAAGUACAGCCGCAAGGCUGAAACUCAAAGGAAUUGACGG
rnacentral:rRNA from 1 species